rnacentral:lncRNA from 1 species
UCGGCGGCCGAACCUGGGUUCUCCAAGAUGGCAGAACCCGAUUCUGCCUCAACACUCAGCCACCAAAACUCACCAAACUCAUACCCAACUUCUCAAAACAUGCAAAAACUCACUCCAUCAAGCAUAAGGGGCAUAAAACUAACCUAAGCCCCAACAACAACAAGAAGAACAUCACAUAAGCAUACAUUCAUCAAAAACCCAACUCAAAACCUAUAACAUUAGAUCUAACCAUAACAUGCAUCUUUAACCCUUAACCCUUUUUAAAACUUACUUAAAACAUAGGAAAAGAUAAGGAUCUACACUUACCUCUUGACGAUC